CAUGCCACAGCAUCUCAAUCGGGUUGAGGUCAGGACUCUGACUGGUCCACUUCAGAAGGCGUAUUUUCUUCUGGUUAAGCCAUUUUGUUGUUGAUUUACUUCUAUGCUUUGGAUCAUUGUCCUGUUGCAACACCCAUCUUCUGUUGAGCUUCACCUGGUAGACAGAUGGCCUUAAGUUCUCCUGCAAAAUGACCCGUGUUACCAUACGCUCUCAAAGGCAACAUAACCAAUCUGGCAAAUUUCAAUGUGAAAAAACUGAAAAAUGUAACGUGCUAUAUUUUGACCCUGUAACUUCC